rnacentral:rRNA from 1 species
UGGGGAAUAUUGGACAAUGGGCGAAAGCCUGAUCCAGCCACGCCGCGUGAGUGAUGAAGGCCUUCGGGUCGUAAAGCUCUGUGGGGAGGGACGAACCGCUGUCGUUUAAUAAACGGCAGCAUGACGGUACCUCCUUAGCAAGCACCGGCUAACUUCGUGCCAGCAGCCGCGGUAAUACGAAGGGUGCAAACGUUGCUCGGAAUUAUUGGGCGUAAAGCGCACGUAGGCGGCUUAGCAAGUCGGAAGUGAAAUCCCACGGCUCAACCAUGGAAGUGCUUUCGAAACUGCUGAGCUUGAGUACAAAAGAGGAUCGCGGAAUUCCCGGUGUAGAGGUGAAAUUCGUAGAUAUCGGGAGGAACACCAGUGGCGAAGGCGGCGAUCUGGGUUGAUACUGACGCUGAGGUGCGAAAGCGUGGGGAGCAAAC